rnacentral:rRNA from 1 species
GGAUUAGAUACCCCGGUAGUCCUGGCAGUAAACGGUGUGCGCUUGGUGUGAGGGGAUUCGACCCCCCUUGUGCCGGAGCUAACGCGUUAAGCGCACCGCCUGGGAAGUACGGCCGCAAGGCUAAAACUCAAAGAAAUUGACGGGGACCCGCACAAGCGGUGGAGUAUGUGGCUUAAUUCGAUGCAACGCGAAGAACCUUACCUAGGCUUGACAUGCAUCUCUAAGCGCGUGAAAGCGCGUGACCCUUCGGGGGAUUUGCACAGGUGCUGCAUGGCCGUCGUCAGCUCGUGUCGUGAGAUGUUGGGUUAAGUCCCGCAACGAGCGCAACCCUUGUGUUCAGUUACCAGCGGUUCGGCCGGGGACUCUGGACAGACUGCCCAGAUCAACUGGGAGG